UACAGGGGGGGCAAGCGUUGUUCGGAAUUACUGGUCGUAAAGGGCCAGUAGGCGGCCAACUAAGUCACACGUGAAAUCCCCGGGCUUAACCCGGGAACUGCGUGUGAUACUGGAUGGCUUGAAUUCGGGAGAGGGAUGCAGAAUUCCAGGUGUAGCGGUGAAAUGCGUAGAUAUUGGGAAGAACACCGGUGGCGAAGGCGGCUCACUGGCUCAUUUCUGACGCUCAGGCGCGACAGCGUGGGGAUCAAACAGG
rnacentral:rRNA from 1 species